rnacentral:rRNA from 1 species
UACGUAGGGUCCAAGCGUUGUCCGGAUUUAUUGGGCGUAAAGAGCUCGUAGGCGGUUUCGUAAGUCGGAUGUGAAAACUCAGGGCUCAACCCGGAGACGCCAUCCGAUACUGCGAUGACUUGAGUCUGGUAGGGGAACACGGAAUUCCUGGUGUAGCGGUGAAAUGCGCAGAUAUCAGGAGGAACACCGAUGGCGAAGGCGGGUCUCUGGGCAGUAACUGACGCUGAGAAGCGAAAGCGUGGGUAGCGAACAGG